rnacentral:rRNA from 1 species
GACGAACGCUGGCGGCGUGCUUAACACAUGCAAGUCGAACGGAAAGGCCCUGCUUGCAGGGUACUCGAGUGGCGAACGGGUGAGUAACACGUGGGUGAUCUGCCCUGCACUUCGGGAUAAGCCUGGGAAACUGGGUCUAAUACCGGAUAGGAGCCAUUUUUAGUGUGAUGGUUGGAAAGUUUUUUCGGUGUAGGAUGAGCUCGCGGCCUAUCAGCUUGUUGGUGGGGUAAUGGCCUACCAAGGCGGCGACGGGUAGCCGGCCUGGGGGGGUGGACGGCCACAUUGGGACUGAGAUACGGCCCAGACUCCUACGGGGGGCAGCAGUGGGGAAUAUUGCACAAUGGGCGCAAGCCUGAUGCAGCGACGCCGCGGGGGGGAUGACGGCCUUCGGGUUGUAAACUCCUUUCGCUAGGGACGAAGCUUUUUGUGACGGUACCUAGAUAAGAAGCACCGGCUAACUACGUG